UACGUAGGGGGCGAGCGUUGCCCGGAUUCACUGGGCGUAAAGCGCGUGUAGGCGGUUUGUUAAGUCGGAUGUGAAAUCUCCGGGCUCAACCCGGAAACUGCAUCCGAUACUGGCAGACUUGAGGAUGGUAGAGGUUGGUGGAAUGCCGAGUGUACCGGUGAAAUGGGCAGAUAUUCGGCGGAACACCAGUGGCGAAGGCGGCCAACUGGGCCAAUCCUGACGCUGAGACGCGAAAGCCAGGGUAGCGAAC
rnacentral:rRNA from 1 species